ensembl:lncRNA
CAAACAUUUCAUUAAAAGUGAUCACGUAAUCUAGGGUUAAUAAUCGGCAAUACCUACAAUUAAACUAAAUAUGUAGGAUAAAAUGUUAUCCAUAAUCCAUCCAGAGUGUGAUUGUUAAUCUACAUGUUAUGUUUUUCUUUAUGAAUUUAGGUUUUGUAUAUAUAUAUGGGUUCAUGAAUUACAGGUCCUGAUGGCAGGGGGAAACAAGAGCUGCGACUAUAACAAUGUCCAAAACCACCCACAUGCACCAGCGCACCAAUACAUGAAGAUCACCUGAGCCAUCCAUAUCCACGCGAGCCUACAGAUAAUCUUGAAUUUUUUGAUUUGUUCAUCUCCUCUUCGUCCGCUUAUCCGGGGUCGGCUCGCGGGGGGAGCAGCUCAAGCAGGGGGCCCCAGACUUCCCUUUCCCGGGCCACAUUGACCAGCUCUGACAGGGGGAUCCCGAGGCGUUCCCAGGCCAGUGUUGAGAUAUAAUCUCUCCACCUAGUCCUGGGUCUUCCCCGAGGUCUCCUCCCACUAGGACGUGCCUGAAACACCUCCCAAGGAAGGCGC